rnacentral:rRNA from 1 species
AGGGCGUACGGUGAAUGCCUUGGUGCCAACAGGCGAAGAAGGACGCGGCAAGCUGCGAAAAACCUCGGGAAGCUGCAAGCAAGCGAUGAUCCGGGGGUGUCCGAAUGGGGUAACCUGACUGGGGUAAUACCUGGUCGUUCAUACCUGAAUACAUAGGGUAUGAAACGCAAUACCCGCUGAAGUGAAACAUCUCAGUAAGCGGAGGAAAAGAAAGAGAAAUCGAUUCCGUAAGUAGUGGCGAGCGAAAGCGGAUGGAGCCCAAACCGAAGGUACUCCUUCGGGGUUGUAGGACCACGACAUAUUCGACCAUAGUGGAUAGUAGAACAGUCUGGAAAGGCUGGCCAUAGAAGGUGAAAGCCCUGUAGACGAAAUCCAGAGUGGGAAUUAGUGGUAUCCUGAGUAAUACAUCACACGUGGAACGAUGUAUGAAUCAGCGCGGACCACCGCGCAAGGCUAAAUACUAGUUGGCGACCGAUAGUGAACAAGUACCGCGAGGGAAAGGUGAAAAGAACCGCUGUGAGCGGAGUGAAAUAGAACCUGAAACCGUAUGUCUACAAAGUGUCAGAGCAGAGCGAUCUGCGAUGGCGUGCCUUUUGUUUAAUGAGUCUGCGAGUCAGUGUUUGUGGCAAGACUAAGGGCUUCCGGCCCGGAGUCGCAGCGAAAGCAAGUCCGAAUAGGGCGAAUUAAGUCGCAGGUACUGGACCCGAAGCGGAGGUGACCUACCCUUGGCCAGGUUGAAGCAUGGGUAAAACCAUGUGGAGGACCGAACAGGUGAACGUUGAAAAGUUCUCUGAUGAGCUGAGGGUAGGAGUGAAAGGCUAAUCAAACCCCGUGAUAGCUGGUUCUCUUCGAAAUGCAUUUAGGUGCAGCGUCACGUGCUGAUGCGCGGGGGUAGAGCACUGACAAGGCUAGGGGGCACACCCGCUUACCAAACCUUAUCAAACUCCGAAUACCGUGCAAUGGAACGUGGCAGUGAGACAGUGGGGGAUAAGCUUCAUUGUCGAGAGGGAAACAACCCAGACCAGCAGCUAAGGUGCCUAAAUAACGCUGAGUGGAAAGGAUGUGGGAUUACACAGACAGUGAGGAUGUUGGCUUAGAAGCAGCCACCAUUUAAAAAAUGCGUAAUAGCUUACUCAUCGAGUGAUCCUGCGCCGAAAAUGAUUGGCGAUCAAGCGUUAUACCGAAGCUCUGGACUUUGCCGCAAGGCAGAGUGGUAGAAGAGCGUUGCAUGCGCAUUGAAGGGUGAUGGCGACUGACCCUGGAGCGCAUGCAAGUGAGUAUGCAGACAUGAGUAACGUAAAGCCGGGUGAAAUCCCCGGCCGCCGUAAACCCGAGGUUUCCAGGGCAACGUGUUUCGUCCCUGGGUUAGCCGGGACCUAAGCCGAGGCCGAGAGGCGUAGGCGAUGGAUAUCAGGUUAAUAAUCCUGAGCUCGCGACCCUUAAACUGGGGGGACGCAUGAGAAGAGAUGACCAGGUUAUUGAAUUCCGAGCUGGGUCCACGGACCCAGCGCAUCAUCAAAUCGAGUGCCAAGAAAAGCCCCAGCGUAUGCUAAGCGACCCGUACCGCAAACCGACACAGGUGGGUGGGUAGAAUAUACCAAGGCGUAAGAGUGAAACCUGGUUAAGGAACUCGGCAAAUUAGCCCCGUAACUUCGGAAGAAGGGGUGCCUGCAGCGAUGCAGGCCGCAGAGAAAUGGCCCAACCGACUGUUUAUCAAAAACACAGCACUCUGCAAAGACGCAAGUCGAAGUAUAGGGUGUGACACGUGACCAAUGCCGAAAGAUUAAGGCAAGGGGUUAGCCGCAAGGCGAAGCUCUGAACCCAAGUCCCGGUGAAUGUCGGCCGUAACUAUAACGGUCCUAAGGUAGCGAAAUUCCUUGUCGGGUAAGUUCCGACCUGCACGAAUCGUGAAACGAGUUGGGCACUGUCUCAACCAGGCGCUCAGUGAAAUUGUAGUGGCGGUGAAGAUGCCGCCUACCCGCAGAAGGACGGAAAGACCCUAUAGACCUUAACUGUAAGCUGUCAUUGUUUCUUCGGUUUUAAUGCUCAGAGUAAGUGGGAGACGCUGAAGAUGCCCUUUAGGGGGCAUCCGAGUCAUCAAUGAGACACCACCCUUUGAAACUGGAGGAUCUAACCCUGAGCCGUGAAUCCGGCCAGAGGACCGUGUCAGCCGGUCAGUUUUACUGGGGCGGUAUCCUCCCAAAGAGUAACGGAGGAGCGCGAAGGUGGGCUCAGCCCGGUUGGCAACCGGGUGUCGAGUGCAUGGGCAUAAGCCCGCCUAACUGUGAGACCAACAAGUCGAGCAGAUGCGAAAGCAGGCCCAAGUGAUCCGGCGGUAGAAAGUGGAAUUGCCGUCGCUCAACGGAUAAAAGGUACCUUAGGGAUAACAGGCUGAUCACGCCCAAGAGUUCAUAUCGACGGCGUGGUUUGGCACCUCGAUGUCGGCUCGUCGCAUCCUGGGGCUGGAGAAGGUCCCAAGGGUCCGGCUGUUCGCCGGUUAAAGCGGCACGCGAGCUGGGUUCAGAACGUCGCGAGACAGUUCGGUCCUCUAUCCUCUGUGGGCGUUGGAAAAUUGAGGGGUUCAGACCUUAGUACGAGAGGACCGGGUCUGACGCACCACUGGUGCAUCGGUUGUACUGUCAAGUGCAUGGCCGAGUAGCUAAGUGCGGAAGGGAUAAGCGCUGAAAGCAUCUAAGCGCCAAGCCCAUCCCAAGAUGAGUUUUCCCUAUAGGUUCGUGGAAGACCACCACGUCGAUAGGUCGCAGGUGUAAGUGCAGCAAUGUAUUGAGCCAAGCGAUACUAAUCACCGAUAGACUUCAUC